rnacentral:rRNA from 1 species
ACCGCAUGAUACCUGAGGGUCAAAGGCGCAAGUCGCCUUAGGAGGAGCCUGCGUCUGAUUAGGUAGUUGUGGGGUAAAGGCCUACCAAGCCUACGAUCAGUAGCUGGUCUGAGAGGAUGAUCAGCCACAUUGGGACUGAGACACGGCCCAGACUCCUACGGGAGGCAGCAGUGGGGAAUAUUGGACAAUGGGCGCAAGCCUGAUCCAGCAAUGCCGCGUGGAUGAAGAAGGUCUUCGGAUUGUAAAGUCCUUUUGGCGGGACGAUGAUGACGGUACCCGCAGAAUAAGCUCCGGCUAACUUCGUG